AAUUUUUAAACGUUAGUUACGCACUUAAUACCGCAAGGACUUGAAUAUCGCAACGACACCUAAUAUUAAGUGUCGUUCGGUAAUAAAGUCGUUGCGGUAUUAAGUGCGUUGAUAUUUAGUACUUACUUAAGACGAUGGGGUACACGCAUUAUUGGCAAUUAAAAAAGGUAAUUGAUUCUUCAAAAUGGAAAGAAUUUUUAAUUGGAGCUCGUAAAAUUAUUACUGCCGCUAUCGAUAAAAAAUAUCCCGUCGAGGACGAAUCUGCUGAAGAUUUUAUUUGUAUCAAUGGCACAGGUGAUGAGAAUUACGAAGAUUUUAAAGUUACCAAUAAUCUCAAAUGGACUUUUUGCAAGACUGCCCGUAAGCUAUAUGACCCAGUAGUAACUGCAAUCCUUAUUUUUCUAAAAGAAAUUGUUGGGGAGGAUGUCAAAAUCGAAUCCGAUGGCAAAUGGAACGAAGAAGAAUGGGAGGAUGGUAGAAAACUUUACAAAGAUGUGUUUAACAAAGAGCCUGACUCGAUUUUGGGUUGACCACUUUAAUCAGUAACCAAUAAUUAUUUCUUAAACUUUUGUUUGUUCAAUAUCAAUAAUAAAUUUAGUACAUAGAUAAUAUAAGUACAUAAAUUAUAUGUAGGUUUUGUAAAUGUAUCAAAUCUUGUUUUAAAGCUUUA